AUCUUUGAUUAUUUUUAAUAUUCAAAAUAGGGAAAAAAAUAUGAAGGGGACAUGAAAGGAUCGCAAGGUCGACUAGAGGAAAAUACAUUUAUAGAAGGAAACCAAUCAAGAUCAUACAAACUCAAUCCAUUUUAAGCAACUUCCAUGUUGGAAGAUUUUACACCAGCACCAAUAGAGAGAAAUACGGCCACUGGUACAAGCGCAAGCACUCGUACCAAGCGCCGGAGACCUCCCCUCAUCUAGAGGAACAAACUUCAUAAAGGGUCAUUCAACAUCAAAGAAACUUAGUUGUCGUCACUCCAUCGUGAACAAAGGGAGAACAGAGGAGACCGGGGCAAGAAAAAUAAUCGGAGAUUUUUCCAUCUUGUUUCCCCAUCUUUCAUUCAUGUCAUCACAUCAUCACCAUUUUAAGAGGAAUUUGAAGUUAAAAGAUCACGGUGUACAACUCUAUUCACACUCAUCUAGAGACUGAGACGUAUUUAAUCAUUGAUCUUAUUGUGGAUCUGUAUGUUAUUAUUGAUAUGUUUUUUAUUGGAUUAUUUUCUUAGAUGAUACGUUAUUCCUCUCUGAUGUGUGAGUAAAUUUCCCUAAGUUUGUGAGAUGUAGGUGACUGGUAAGAUU